AACGCACAUUGCGCCCGCCAGCAUUCUGGCGGGCAUGCCUGUUCGAGCGUCAUUUCAACCCUCGAGCUCGUCUUCAUUGACGAGAUCGGUGUUGGGACCCGGCGAUCGGGGACUUUAGUUCCUCUGCCGGUCCUGAAAUUCAGUGGCGGCCCGUUGCGGCGACCUCUGCGUAGUAACUUAACCUCGCACUGGGACAGCAGCGCGGCCACGCCGUAAAACCCCCGACUUUUUUUAAGGUUGACCUCGAAUCAGGUAGGACUACCCGCUGAACUUAA
rnacentral:misc_RNA from 1 species